rnacentral:tmRNA from 1 species
GCCCUUCCUUUUGGGCAGUCGUGCGCCUAUAUCGGGAGUGUCGGCGCAAGCCGACUAUGGUGAUAAACGGUGGCGUGAAAUAGACGCAGCGGACCCGGGGGCGGUACCCGGCGGCUCCACCACAGGCAGCGAUACAGAAAUGUGCCGAUGUCCGUGACGGGGCCGAACUAGGAUCGACGUGUGUUCAAAGACGACAUUUUUGCCCGGGCUGAGUAACCCGUUCAAGGCUCAAAACCCAAUAAGUGCCAACGAUAACGAAGCACUUGCUCUUGCAGCGUAAUUGAGGGGCGCAAGCCCUGACAUUAUCCUAAUAGAACGCGGCUGAACCCGCCGGGCAACAGAAGGGAAUUCA